GACGUAGGGCGCGAGCGUUGUCCGGAUUUAUUGGGCGUAAAGAGCUCGUAGGCGGUGUGUCGCGUCGGCCGUGAAAACCUGCAGCUUAACUGUGGGCUUGCGGUCGAUACGGGCAUCACUGGAGUUCGGCAGGGGAGACUGGAAUUCCUGGUGUAGCGGUGAAAUGCGCAGAUAUCAGGAGGAACACCGGUGGCGAAGGCGGAUCUCUGGGCCAUUACUGACGCUGAGGAGCGAAAGCGUGGGGAGCGAACAGG
rnacentral:rRNA from 1 species